UGGGUUUUGGAGAGAGAGAAGAGUAAAAGCUGCCGGCGUGCAUCAUCAUCAUCAAACCCACCAAUACAACACAGCACAUAUCUUAUUGCCUCCUAAUCCCUCUCCAAACACUGCCAAAAUUCCCUCCCCACCACUUUCUUUUUCUUUCUUUUCCUUUCUUUUUUUACUAUAUAACACAUAAAACAUUUCAUACAAUACUUAAUACCCUAUUCCACUAAUACCAAUAUGUACUCUUCCCAAAUAUCUAGGGCAUGCUUUGCUUCCUCUCUUUCUUUCUUUCUUUCUUUCUUUCACCUUUUCUUUUCUUUUCUUUUCUUUUCUUUUCUUUUUCCCACAUCAUCAUCUAUAUACUAUAUAGAAUACACAUUACCCACAAGUUAUAUACGCCAUUGCUCAAGAUUCAUGCAUGGUCCUACUGUAGCUAAUCUCUUGUCAGAAACCUUAUAUAUGACUCGAGAGCUGCAAAUUUUCUUGGGAACCAUCAUUUGCUUGCAGAAGCAACUAUAUAUAUGGGACAUUACCCAACUUCCUAUGUUACCUGUCCAAUGGCACCAACGGUCGCGGAAUGUGGAACGGUAAAAGGGUAUUUUGGUAAUUAAAACAUCCAAUUGUUACUAUUUUUGUACUGUAAAGAUUUCUGCUUGGAUAUACUAAAUUUAUACACAGUUGCAUGCGGAGCUAAAAAUAUUCUUUUUACUGCAACCUUUCAUUAAAUAAACUUUGAUAUACCUUGAAA